ensembl:lncRNA
AAUAGGAAUUUGUCUCUGCUGCCAUCAGAAAUUGAGUCAGUCCUCGGCUAAACUAGUCCAUUCUAACCAGUCCCCAACCAACAAAAACUCACAGCUUGAAGUCCUGAUUCAAGUUCUAAUGCAUCUGUGCACUUCUUUUCAGUGCAUAUUUUGCAAGAAAAUGUAAGAAUUAAUUUAAUAUAUAUACAGUAUCUCACAAUAGUGAGUACACCCCUCACAUUAUUGCAAACAUUUGAUUGUCUUAUCAUGUGACAACAUUGAAGAAAUGACACUUUGCUACAAUGUAAAGUAGUGAGUGUGCAGCUUGUAUAACAGUUUACAUUUGCUGUUCCCUCAAAAUAAUUCAACACACAGCCAUUAAUGUCUAAACCGCUAGCAACAAAAGUGAGCACACCCCUAAGUGAAAAUGUCCAAAUUGGGCCCAAAGUGUCAAUAUUUUGUGUGGCCACCAUUAUUUUCCAGCCCUGCCUUAACCCUCUUGGGCAUGGAGUUCACCAGAGCUUCACAGGUUGCCACUGGAUUCCUCUUCCACUCCUCCAUGAUGACAUCACAGAGCUGGUGGAUGUUAGAGACCUUGUGCUCCUCCACCUUCCCUUUGAGGAUGCCCCACGGAUGCUCAAUAGGAUUUAGGUCUGGAGACAUGCUUGGCCAGUCCAUCACCUGUACCCUCUGCUUCUUUAGCAAGGCAGUGGUCGUCUUGGAGGUGUGUUUGGGGUCGUUAUCAUGUUGGAAUACUGCCCUGCGGCCCAGUCUCCAAAGAGAGGGGAUCAUACUCUGCUUCAGUAUGUCACAGUACAUGUUGUCAUUCAUGGUUCCCUCUAUGAACUGUAGCUCCCCAGUGCCGGCAGCACUCGUUCAGCCCCAGACCAUGACACUCCCACCACCAUGCUUGACUGUAGGCAAGACACACUUGUCUUUGUACUCCUCACCUGGUUGCCGCCACACACGCUUGACACCAUCUGAACCAAAUAAGUUUACCUUGGUCUCAUCAGACCACAGGACAUGGUUCCAGUAAUCCAUGUCCUUAGUCUGCUAGUCUUCAGCAAACUGUUUGUGGCCUUUCUUAUGCAUCAUCUUUAGAAGGGGCUUCCUUCUGGGACGACAACCAUGCAGAUCAAUUUGAUGCAGUGUGCAGCAUAUGGUCUGAGCACUGACAGGUUGACCCCCCCACCCCUUUAACCUCUGCAGCAAUGCUGGCAGCACUCUUAUGUCUAUUUCCCAAAGACAACCUCUGGAUAUGAUGCUGAGCAUGUGCACUUGACUUCUUUGGUUGACCAUGGCGAGGCCUGUUCUGAGUGGAACCUGUCCUGUUAAACUGAUGUAUGGUCUUGGCCACCGUGCUGCAGCACAGUUUCAGGGUCUUGGCAAUUUUCUUGUAGGCUAGGCCAUCUUUAUAUAGAGGAACUUUUUUUUUGUCAGAUCCUCAGAGAGUUCUUUGCCAUGAGGUGCCAUGAUGAACUUCCAGUGACCAAUAUGAGGGAGUGUGAGAGCGCUAACACCAAAUUUAACACACCUGCUCCCCAUUCACACCUAAGACCUUGUAACACUAACGAGUCACAUGACACGGGGGAGGGAAAAGGGCAAAUAGGGCCCAAUUUGGAAAUGUUCACUUAGGGCAGUUUAGACAUUAAUGACUGUGUGUUGAGUUAUUUUGAGGGGACAGCACAUUUACACUGUUAUACAAGCUGUAAACUCCCUACUUUACAUUGUAGCAAAGUAUAAUUUCUUUAGUGUUGUCACAUGAAAAGAUAUAAUCAAAUAUUUGCAAAAUUGUGAGGGGUGAGAUACUGUAUAAAUAUAUAUACACAUAUAUAUAUAUAUAUACACACAUAUAUAUACACAUACACACACAAAUAUAUAUAUAUAUAUAUAUACACAUUGUACUUGAUUAUUGGCUAUGAUGAAAGCAAGUCAUGCCUGACGUGAUGAUGGCAAAUAGAGAAUUUUGGCACAAGGGUAUUGAAAUAGGGCACCCACGGUAGGUUUGCUUACAGAUUGUGUGUUUGUUAAUAGAUGUAUCUUUCUUGACAGACUUCCAGCAUUUCUGCCAGCCCAAAUGUUACAUCUGUAAACCGUACGACAGUACAAGUUACCACGUCAUCAAACCAGACCGCCAACCAACCCUCCGGGAACACAACAGGUCCAGGCAAUUUCUCUAUGACGACACCCACCAAAACUGACAACCACAGUCACAUUACCACGGGACCUUCUAACAUAUCCGUCUCCAACAUUACAAUGACGACCCACACAACGCUGAGGCUGCAGCCAACUUCUAAAGUUACCAACACAAUGACCAAACCAAAUAGAGGCGCCUCAAACUUGCUAGGCUCUUGUGCUCUUAUUCUGGGAUCUACAAUCUCUAUGAUGAACCUGCUGUGAUCUGAAAAUAUACAUAAUAUGUAUAUAUUGCAUGAAAGGGCUAUUAAUUGCUUUCAAAGUGAGAGCAAAAUUGCUUUUUUACUACUGUCAGAUAAUCCCAUGUAUGUAUUGCCAUGCACAGUUGCUAAAAACAAUCACUAGCCCAAACUACGAAAUUAUUUACAAUAUUCCAUCUUUAUUGUAUUGUUCAUGUAAAUAAAUCACUUAUUUAACAUAAA